rfam:Acidovorax sp. KKS102, complete genome.
CCCUAGCCUGGGGGGCCGAAAGGAAAGCCAGGACGCGGAUUAGUCGGGCAGUGCCGCGUUUCAGGAAAAACCCCGACAGCC